AGCAGCCGCGGUAAUUCCAGCUCCAAUAGCGUAUAUUAAAGUUGUUGCAGUUAAAAAGCUCGUAAUUGAAUUUCGGGGUUCUACCGUUGGUCGGGCUUUGUCUGUACUGGCGUGUAGAAUUUCUACCUUCUGGGGAACUAUCAUGUUAUUAAUUUAGCGUGGUAGGAAACCAGGACCUUUACCUUGAAAAAAUUAGAGUGUUCAAAGCAGGCUUAUGUCUGAAUACAUUAGCAUGGAAUAAUAAAAUAGGACGGUGGUCCUGUUUUGUUGGUUUCUGAAUCACCGUAAUGAUUAAUAGGGAUAGUUGGGGGCAUUAGUAUUCAAUUGUCAGAGGUGAAAUUCUUGGAUUUAUUGAAGACUAACUACUGCGAAAGCAUUUGCCAAGGAUGUUUUUCAUUAAUCAAGACGAAAGUUAGGGGAUCGAAGACGAUCAGAUACCGUCGUAGUCUUAACCAUAAACUAUGCCGACUAGGGAUCGGAUGAUGUUAAUUUUUAAUGACUCAUUCGGCGCCUUACGGGA
rnacentral:rRNA from 1 species